GAUAAGUUAGCUUCUGACAGAUAGUAGUAAUGCAUGCGUGCUUGAUUAAUUUUGUUGGCACAUGACAUGUGAUUUGAUAAGUUAGCUUCUGACAGAUAGUAGUAAUGCAAGCACUAAUUCUUAUUGAUCUAACUAUUUUGUGCUAUCAUGUUUUGAGUUAUAUUUGGAUUGCUCAGUCGCAUGGGUUAUGAAGUAUUCAGACAAUACGGUCAAGGUGAGAUCAUCUGAACUUUCCAUCUUAACUGAAAUGGGAUAUCUUAUGUCUUUUCCUUGUUUGUAAAAGAGCUAAAAGCCUUUGCUUGCAUUGCAGUCUAUGUAGUGCUUUAGCAAUUGCUAAUUUUAUGGCUUCUCACCUAAACUUUCCAUCAUCUUAACUGAAAUGGGAUAUCUUAUGCCUUUUCCUUGUCUGUAAAAGAGCUUAAAGCAAUUGCUUACAUUGCAUUCUUUAGCAAUUGCUAAUUUUAUGGCCAUAUGCUACUAGGUGGGCUCUGCUAAUAAGUAGCCACAAUGAGCUUUUGAUCAUGGCUCUAUGUGCUUGUGCACAAGAGUGUUUGUGUAUUUUAUGAUUGUGCAGGUGCUAGAUAGAAUAGCUCACCACUUGGGUCACGAGCAUUUAGUACAUGUAAUACAUGAUUUUCUUUCCUGUUCUUGGUAUCAAUUCAUCUCUAUCAAUUUCAGUCGCUUCUUCCCAACCUACAAGUGUUUGCUUCUGGACUGUUCUAUGCUUCAUAGUUUGUUAGCCAACUAGAUUUUCCAUAAAUUUUGUGAUCCGGUAUAAUUUCCUCUUCAAGGUCGUCACUACAAUCGGCCUGCAAUUGUAAAUGUCAUCACAUUCUCACUUACAUACCAUGCAUUUCAGUUUAUGUUGUGUAAUAUUCUCACUUAUGUUUUGCAUGCUUCUCAUGGGUGAUCCUUUUCCGUUGCCAGGUGAUAUGAUUUUUGGAAGAUGGAAGAUAAAAACGAUGAUGUGGACUUUGUUUUAAUUUGUGCUAAAUUUCUGUAUUUUUGUUGUAUGUAUGAUUUACCGUCUUGGUUUGUCAUUGUGGUUGGUCAAUAAAUAUUGAAAAAUGUG
rnacentral:lncRNA from 1 species